GACUCAGUAGCUCAGUUGGUAGAGCACAUCCCUUUUAAGGAUGGGGUCCUGGGUUCGAGACCCAGCUGAGUCACCA
rnacentral:tRNA from 1 species